UUCAAGUUUUAUAUUUUCUCUUUCUUCAAAUUUCUUUGCAGGUCAAGAAAUACAAAUUAUGAAUGGUUUUCCUAAUUUGUUCAACAAAUCUCUAACUUAACUCAAGAAAUAUCUCAAUUGUUAAAGGGCUCACACGGUUUCCUUGUCGGGUUCCAGAUCUCCGCCGCCGCCGCUCUAUGGAUGGUUCCAAAAAGACUCUUCUUGAAUCCAUGGAACUUGAUGAAUCAAUUGUUGAAUAGAAGUUCUUAAUUGUCCAUUCAUUCUCAAUUCUAAAUAACAAAAAUAAGUUUAUUUAUGUAUUCAUCCUAAUUGCAUAUGUAAAACAAAGUUUUUAUCUUAUUUUGCUUAUUUUGUAUUUA